rnacentral:rRNA from 1 species
GACGAACGCUGGCGGCGUGCUUAACACAUGCAAGUCGAACGGAAAGGCCCUGCUUUUGUGGGGUGCUCGAGUGGCGAACGGGUGAGUAACACGUGAGUAACCUGCCCUUGACUUUGGUAUAACUUCAGGAAACUGGGGCUAAUACCGUAUAGGAGCUCCUGCUGCAUGGUGGGGGUUGGAAAUUUUCGGCGUUUGGGGUUGGACUCGCGGCUUAUCAUCUUGUUGGUGGGGUAGUGGCUUACCCAGGCUUUGACGGGUAGCCGGCCUGAGAGGGUGACCGGCCAAAUUGGGACUGAGAUACGGCACAGACUCAUACGGGAGGCAGGAGGGGGGAAUAUUGCACAAGGGGCGGAAGCCUGAUGCAGAAACGCCGCGUGCGGGAUGACGGCCUUCGGGUUGAAAACCGCUUUCGCCUGUGACGAAGCGUGAGAGACGGUAAUGGGUAAAGAAGCACCGGCUAAAUACG